AAAUUGAAGAGUUUGAUCAUGGCUCAGAUUGAACGCUGGCGGCAGGCCCACAUGCAAGUCGAACGGUAACAGGAAGCAGCUGCUUCGCUGACGAGUGGCGGACGGGUGAGUAAUGUCUGGGAAACUGCCUGAUGGAGGGGGAUAACUACUGGAAACGGUGGCUAAUACCGCAUAACGUCGCAAGACCAAAGAGGGGGACCUUCGGGCCUCUUGCCAUCAGAUGUGCCCAGAUGGGAUUAGCUUGUUGGUGAGGUAACGGCUCACCAAGGCGACGAUCCCUAGCUGGUCUGAGAGGAUGACCAGCCACACUGAGACACGGUCCAGACUCCUACGGGAGGCAGUGGGGAAUAUUGCACAAUGGGCGCAAGCCUGAUGCAGCCAUGCCGCGUGUAUGAAGAAGGCCUUCGGGUUGUAAAGUACUUUCAGCGGGGAGGAAGGUGUUGUGGUUAAUAACCGCAGCAAUUGACGUUACCCGCAGAAGAAGCACCGGCUAACUCCGUGCCAGCAGCCGCGGUAAUACGGAGGGUGCAAGCGUUAAUCGGAAUUACUGGGCGUAAAGCGCACGCAGGCGGUCUGUCAAGUCGGAUGUGAAAUCCCGGCUCAACUCGAACUGCAUUCGAAACUGGCAGGCUUGAGUCUUGUAGAGGGGGGUAGAAUUCCAGGUGUAGCGGUGAAAUGCGUAGAGAUCUGGAGGAAUACCGGUGGCGAAGGCGGCCCCCUGGACAAAGACUGACGCUCAGGUGCGAAAGCGUGGGGAGCAAACAGGAUUAGAUACCCUGGUAGUCCACGCCGUAAACGAUGUCUACUUGGAGGUUGUGCCCUUGAGGCGUGGCUUCCGGAGCUAACGCGUUAAGUAGACCGCCUGGGGAGUACGGCCGCAAGGUUAAAACUCAAAUGAAUUGACGGGGGCCCGCACAAGCGGUGGAGCAUGUGGUUUAAUUCGAUGCAACGCGAAGAACCUUACCUGGUCUUGACAUCCACGGAAGUUUUCAGAGAUGAGAAUGUGCCUUCGGGAACCGUGAGACAGGUGCUGCAUGGCUGUCGUCAGCUCGUGUUGUGAAAUGUUGGGUUAAGUCCCGCAACGAGCGCAACCCUUAUCCUUUGUUGCCAGCGGUUAGGCCGGGAACUCAAAGGAGACUGCCAGUGAUAAACUGGAGGAAGGUGGGGAUGACGUCAAGUCAUCAUGGCCCUUACGACCAGGGCUACACACGUGCUACAAUGGCGCAUACAAAGAGAAGCGACCUCGCGAGAGCAAGCGGACCUCAUAAAGUGCGUCGUAGUCCGGAUUGGAGUCUGCAACUCGACUCCAUGAAGUCGGAAUCGCUAGUAAUCGUGGAUCAGAAUGCCACGGUGAAUACGUUCCCGGGCCUUGUACACACCGCCCGUCACACCAUGGUUGCAAAGAAGUAGGUAGCUUAACCUUCGGGAGGGCGCUUACCACUUUGUGAUUCAUGACUGGGGUGAAGUCGUAACAAGGUAACCGUAGGGGAACCUGCGGUUGGAUCACCUCCUUACCUGAAAGAA
rnacentral:rRNA from 1 species